rnacentral:rRNA from 1 species
AUUGAACGCUGGCGGCAGGCCUAACACAUGCAAGUCGAACGAGUGGCGGACGGGUGAGUAAUGUCUGGGAAACUGCCCGAUGGAGGGGGAUAACUACUGGAAACGGUAGCUAAUACCGCAUACCAUCGGAUGUGCCCAGAUGGGAGUAGCUAGUCGGGGGGGUAACGGCUAACCUAGGCGACGAUCCCUAGCUGGUCUGAGAGGAUGACAGGCCACCAUGGAACUGGGACACGGUCGAGAGUCCUACGGGAGGCAGGAGUGGGGAAUAGUGCACAAUGGUGGCAAGCCUGAUGAGGCCAUGCCGGGUGUAUGAAGAAGUCCUUCGGGUUGUAAAGUACUUUCAGCGCGGAAGCGUUACUCGAAGAAGAAGCAACGGCUAACUCCGUGCCAGCAGCCGCGGUAAUAC